UACGUAUGGAGCAAGCGUUAUCCGGAUUUACUGGGUGUAAUGGGAGCGUAGACGGCGAGGCAAGUCUGAAGUGGAAUCCCCCGGCUCAACCGGGGAACUGCUUUGGAAACUGUCUGGCUGGAGUGCAGGAGAGGUAAGCGGAAUUCCUAGUGUAGCGGUGAAAUGCGUAGAUAUUAGGAGGAACACCGGUGGCGAAGGCGGCUACUGGACUGUAACUGACGUUGAGGCCCGAAAGCGUGGGGAGCAAACA
rnacentral:rRNA from 1 species